rnacentral:rRNA from 1 species
CCUACGGGGGGCAGCAGUGAGGAAUAUUGGUCAAUGGGCGGGAGCCUGAACCAGCCAAGUCGCGUGAGGGAAGACGGUCCUAUGGAUUGUAAACCUCUUUAGGCGGGGAGCAAUGCCGGGCACGCGUGCCCGGAGGGAGAGUACCCGCAGAAUAAGCAUCGGCUAACUCCGUGCCAGCAGCCGCGGUAAUACGGAGGAUGCGAGCGUUAUCCGGAUUUAUUGGGUUUAAAGGGUGCGUAGGCGGAUUUUUAAGUCAGCGGUAAAAUGUCCGGGCUCAACCCGGGCCGGCCGUUGAAACUGGGGAUCUUGAGUACAGUUGAGGUAGGCGGAAUUCGUGGUGUAGCGGUGAAAUGCUUAGAUAUCACGAAGAACUCCGAUUGCGAAGGCAGCUUACUAAACUGCCACUGACAUUGAUGCUCGAAAGUGUGGGUAUCAAACAGGAUUAGAUACCCCUGUAGUC